rnacentral:rRNA from 1 species
GACGAACGUUGGCGGCGUGCUUAUCACAUGCAAGUCGAACGGAAAGGCCCUGCUUUUGUGGGGUGCUCGAGUGGCGAACGGGUGAGUAACACGUGAGUAACCUGCCCUUGACUUUGGGAUAACUUCAGGAAACUGGGGCUAAUACCGGAUAGGAGCUCCUGCUGCAUGGUGGGGGUUGGAAAGUUUCGGCGGUUGGGGAUGGACUCGCGGCUUAUCAGCUUGUUGGUGGGGUAGUGGCUUACCAAGGCUUUGACGGGUAGCCGGCCUGAGAGGGUGACCGGCCACAUUGGGACUGAGAUACGGCCCAGACUCCUACGGGAGGCAGCAGUGGGGAAUAUUGCACAAUGGGCGGAAGCCUGAUGCAGCAACGCCGCGUGCGGGAUGACGGCCUUCGGGUUGUAAACCGCUUUCGCCUGUGACGAAGCGUGAGUGACGGUAAUGGGUAAAGAAGCACCGGCUAACUACGUGCCAGCAGCCGCGGUGAUACGUAGGGUGCGAGCGUUGUCCGGAUUUAUUGGGCGUAAAGGGCUCGUAGGUGGUUGAUCGCGUCGGAAGUGUAAUCUUGGGGCUUAACCCUGAGCGUGCUUUCGAUACGGGUUGACUUGAGGAAGGUAGGGGAGAAUGGAAUUCCUGGUGGAGCGGUGGAAUGCGCAGAUAUCAGGAGGAACACCAGUGGCGAAGGCGGUUCUCUGGGCCUUUCCUGACGCUGAGGAGCGAAAGCGUGGGGAGCGAACAGGCUUAGAUACCCUGGUAGUCCACGCUGUAAACGGUGGGUACUAGGUGUGGGGUCCAUUCCACGGGUUCCGUGCCGUAGCUAACGCUUUAAGUACCCCGCCUGGGGAGUACGGCCGCAAGGCUAAAACUCAAAGGAAUUGACGGGGCCCCGCACAAGCGGCGGAGCAUGCGGAUUAAUUCGAUGCAACGCGUAGAACCUUACCUGGGUUUGACAUGGAUCGGGAGUGCUCAGAGAUGGGUGUGCCUCUUUUGGGGUCGGUUCACAGGUGGUGCAUGGCUGUCGUCAGCUCGUGUCGUGAGAUGUUGGGUUAAGUCCCGCAACGAGCGCAACCCUUGUUCACUGUUGCCAGCACGUUAUGGUGGGGACUCAGUGGAGACCGCCGGGGUCAACUCGGAGGAAGGUGGGGAUGACGUCAAGUCAUCAUGCCCCUUAUGUCCAGGGCUUCACGCAUGCUACAAUGGCUGGUACAGAGAGUGGCGAGCCUGUGAGGGUGAGCGAAUCUCGGAAAGCCGGUCUCAGUUCGGAUUGGGGUCUGCAACUCGACCUCAUGAAGUCGGAGUCGCUAGUAAUCGCAGAUCAGCAACGCUGCGGUGAAUACGUUCCCGGG